UGGAGGGCAAGUCUGGUGCCAGCAGCCGCGGUAAUUCCAGCUCCAAUAGCUUAUAUUAAAGUUGUUGCAGUUAAAAAGCUCGUAGUUGAAUUUCGGGAUUUGUCAGUUGGUCGGGCUUCACUGUCCGUAUUAACUUGAUGGAUUCUUACCUUCUGAAUAACCAGCAUGCUAUUACAGUUUUUCCAAGAUAAAAGUUCUCAAUGUGGUGGUAAGUUAGUGCGUUGGGGAAGCAUAUCUAUUACCUUGAAAAAAUUAGAGUGCUUAAAGCGAGCUAGUGCUUGAAUAGAUUAGCAUGGAAUAAUAAAAUAGGACGGCAUGGUUCUAUUUUGUUGGUUUCUAGGAUCACCGUAAUGAUUAAUAGGGAUAGUUGGGGGCAUUAGUAUUCAAUUGUCAGAGGUGAAAUUCUUGGAUUUAUUGAAGACUAACUUCUGCGAAAGCAUUUUCCAAGGAUUUUUUCAUUAAUCAAGAACGAAAGUUAGGGGAUCGAAGACGAUCAGAUACCGUCGUAGUCUUAACCAUAAACUAUGCCGACUAGGAAUCGGACGAUGUUAAUUUUAUAAUGACUCGUUCGGCACCUUACGGGAAAC
rnacentral:rRNA from 1 species